GAGUAAUGUCUGGGAAACUGCCUGAUGGAGGGGGAUAACUACUGGAAACGGUAGCUAAUACCGCAUAACGUCGCAAGACCAAAGAGGGGGACCUUCGGGCCUCUUGCCAUCGGAUGUGCCCAGAUGGGAUUAGCUAGUAGGUGGGGUAACGGCUCACCUAGGCGACGAUCCCUAGCUGGUCUGAGAGGAUGACCAGCCACACUGGAACUGAGACACGGUCCAGACUCCUACGGGAGGCAGCAGUGGGGAAUAUUGCACAAUGGGCGCAAGCCUGAUGCAGCCAUGCCGCGUGUAUGAAGAAGGCCUUCGGGUUGUAAAGUACUUUCAGCGGGGAGGAAGGGAGUAAAGUUAAUACCUUUGCUCAUUGACGUUACCCGCAGAAGAAGCACCGGCUAACUCCGUGCCAGCAGCCGCGGUAAUACGGAGGGUGCAAGCGUUAAUCGGAAUUACUGGGCGUAAAGCGCACGCAGGCGGUUUGUUAAGUCAGAUGUGAAA
rnacentral:rRNA from 1 species